AUUGAACGCUGGCGGCAGGCCUAACACAUGCAAGUCGAGCGGAUGAAGGGAGCUUGCUCCUGGAUUCAGCGGCGGACGGGUGAGUAAUGCCUAGGAAUCUGCCUGGUAGUGGGGGAUAACGUCCGGAAACGGGCGCUAAUACCGCAUACGUCCUGAGGGAGAAAGUGGGGGAUCUUCGGACCUCACGCUAUCAGAUGAGCCUAGGUCGGAUUAGCUAGUUGGUGGGGUAAAGGCCUACCAAGGCGACGAUCCGUAACUGGUCUGAGAGGAUGAUCAGUCACACUGGAACUGAGACAAGGUCCAGACUCCUACGGGAGGCAGCAGUGGGGAAUAUUGGACAAUGGGCGAAAGACUGAUCAAGCCAUGACGCGUGUGUGAAGAAGGUCUUCGGAUUGUAAAGCACUUUAAGUUGGGAGGAAGGGCAGUAAGUUAAUACCUUGCUGUUUUGACGUUACCAACAGAAUAAGCACCGGCUAACUUCGUG
rnacentral:rRNA from 1 species